UGCAAGUCGAACGAACUCUGGUAUUGAUUGGUGCUUGCAUCAUGAUUUACAUUUGAGUGAGUGGCGAACUGGUGAGUAACACGUGGGAAACCUGCCCAGAAGCGGGGGAUAACACCUGGAAACAGAUGCUAAUACCGCAUAACAACUUGGACCGCAUGGUCCGAGCUUGAAAGAUGGCUUCGGCUAUCACUUUUGGAUGGUCCCGCGGCGUAUUAGCUAGAUGGUGGGGUAACGGCUCACCAUGGCAAUGAUACGUAGCCGACCUGAGAGGGUAAUCGGCCACAUUGGGACUGAGACACGGCCCAAACUCCUACGGGAGGCAGCAGUAGGGAAUCUUCCACAAUGGACGAAAGUCUGAUGGAGCAACGCCGCGUGAGUGAAGAAGGGUUUCGGCUCGUAAAACUCUGUUGUUAAAGAAGAACAUAUCUGAGAGUAACUGUUCAGGUAUUGNCGGUAUUUAACCAGAAAGCCNCGGCUAANUACGUGCCAGCAGCCGCGGUAAUACGUAGGUGGCAAGCGUUGUCCGGAUUUAUUGGGCGUAAAGCGAGCGCAGGCGGUUUUUUAAGUCUGAUGUGAAAGCCUUCGGCUCAACCGAAGAAGUGCAUCGGAAACUGGGAAACUUGAGUGCAGAAGAGGACAGUGGAACUCCAUGUGUAGCGGUGAAAUGCGUAGAUAUAUGGAAGAACACCAGUGGCGAAGGCGGCUGUCUGGUCUGUAACUGACGCUGAGGCUCGAAAGUAUGGGUAGCAAACAGGAUUAGAUACCCUGGUAGUCCAUACCGUAAACGAUGAAUGCUAAGUGUUGGAGGGUUUCCGCCCUUCAGUGCUGCAGCUAACGCAUUAAGCAUUCCGCCUGGGGAGUACGGCCGCAAGGCUGAAACUCAAAGGAAUUGACGGGGGCCCGCACAAGCGGUGGAGCAUGUGGUUUAAUUCGAAGCUACGCGAAGAACCUUACCAGGUCUUGACAUACUAUGCAAAUCUAAGAGAUUAGACGUUCCCUUCGGGGACAUGGAUACAGGUGGUGCAUGGUUGUCGUCAGCUCGUGUCGUGAGAUGUUGGGUUAAGUCCCGCAACGAGCGCAACCCUUAUUAUCAGUUGCCAGCAUUAAGUUGGGCACUCUGGUGAGACUGCCGGUGACAAACCGGAGGAAGGUGGGGAUGACGUCAAAUCAUCAUGCCCCUUAUGACCUGGGCUACACACGUGCUACAAUGGAUGGUACAACGAGUUGCGAACUCGCGAGAGUAAGCUAAUCUCUUAAAGCCAUUCUCAGUUCGGAUUGUAGGCUGCAACUCGCCUACAUGAAGUCGGAAUCGCUAGUAAUCGCGGAUCAGCAUGCCGCGGUGAAUACGUUCCCGGGCCUUGUACACACCGCCCGUCACACCAUGAGAGUUUGUAACACCCAAAGUCGGUGGGGUAACCUUAUAGGAACCAGCCGCCUAA
rnacentral:rRNA from 1 species